rnacentral:rRNA from 1 species
UACGUAGGGGGCUAGCGUUGUCCGGAUUUAUUGGGCGUAAAGGGCGCGUAGGCGGCUUUUCAAGUGACGGGUGAAAUCCCUCGGCUUAACCGAGGAACUGCCUGUCAGACUGGAAGGCUUGAGACCGGGAGAGGUGAGUGGAAUUCCCAGUGUAGCGGUGAAAUGCGUAGAUAUUGGGAGGAACACCAGUGGCGAAGGCGGCUCACUGGACCGGAACUGACGCUGAGGCGCGAAAGCGUGGGGAGCAAACAGG